GGUCCAACAUGCCGAAGGAACAGCAACACGGUUCUUGUGCUUCAUCCAGCAAGAAUGCUAAAAAUAAGAGCAACCGCACAACUCUGCUGGCAAUGCGUGACGCCAGAGACAAAGACGCCUCCAGCGGGACGUCCUUCCGGUGCAGUUCGGAAAAAGACUCCGGAUACUCUGACGGGCAGCAGACCGACGUGGAGGACCAGGACAAAAGCCAGCGCAGAGGAGGCGAGCGGGCGGGACCUGCGCAGACGGGACGCAACGAAGGUCUUGGGCGCGGGAAUCCUGGGAGACCGAGCCCAACGCCAGCAGGCGGCGAGCUCCCGCCCAUCUACAUCAUCAACAACAUCGUGAUCCAGCAGGGACGUCACCAGGACGUGAUCCAGAACCGAGAUCAGUGCCCCCAGAGGAGCGUCUGCAUGGAGGACGGAGGUUCUGCCGCUGCUCGUGUGAUCCUGGCGCCGGCCACUCGCCAGGUCCACGGGUUCUUCCCGAGUUCCAUCAUCACAGGGAGGAAAAUAAAUGGCACUUACCGCCUCUGUGAGCGGCCCCGAUCUGCAGCCUCCAGCUCUCCCGAUCGCCCGUCCUCCUCCAGUCCCACCACGGGGCCCGUAAGCCAAAGCACCCCGCCCGGUUCCGCCGCCUCCUCCGUCCUCAAAACCAGAGGACCGCACGGAAACGGCUCCACCAGAACUCGCCAGCUCCGGUUUCACGACACCGCGGAAAUCUUGAGGCAGUCGGGUCUGUUGGACAUAACGCUGCGAACGAAGGAGCUGCUGCGGCAGAGCAACGCCACGGCGCGGGACGUGGCCCAGCUCCGCCGGCACACGGAGCUGCUGUGCCGGGCCGUCAGCGACCCCGGCGCGACCCCGGAGCAGCUGCACCGAGCCAUGGCCGAGUCGGGCAGCUACCCCGGCAUAGAAAUCCUGAGAAACUUUCAAAUUCCAGAUUCCAGCGAUUCCGAGGUGCCGUCGGCCGGUCUUCUCCGGGCCCGAGGCCCGCCGGCGGAGAAAGACCGCUUCACGCCUCCCGACAGCUCCACCGGGAUUACCCAAAAUGUCUCUCUGGGUCAACGAGAAGCCAACAAUCACUCGUAUUUAUUGUAUAUUUCAGUUUGUGUUUUGUUUCCAGUUGUCGGAUGUCAUCGGGUUUGAGUGUUCGACAUCUACGUGGAAAAUAAUGUGUUUCCCCGAGGAGACAAAGUGAAUUUGCCUAAACUCGGGUGGCAAAAAUCCCGACCGCCUUAAAUCAGUGAAAGGAUGGAAAUGCUUUCUGGUGACCUGCACGGGGAAAAGAGAAGCCAAUCCAAGCCCGGUGCCUUUUUUUAGGAAAAGAAUGUAGCACUUAAACCUGCGCUGUGUGGUACCACAGACUGGACUGCCGUGUGCACCAGGCCUUGCUCGCUCUGUUUUCACCUGAUGUGUUCUGCAUCAACAGGGCUCGUCAUUCUCAUUCUCGUCAUUCUCGUUUCUCAUAUCAUAUCAUAUAUCAACAAACACAGGAAACAUCCGUUGAUCCAUUUCUCAUGUUUUCCAUGUAUGACGGACAGCUUUUUCCAAAGUGUUUCAGUGUAUUUUUCAUAAUUUCAAGGUAUUUAAAUAAAGCAUUAUGAGGAACAUCCUUUGCAAUUGUAUUUUAUGAGUCGGUGACCUUUAAUCUGUCUGUCGCAGUUCAUCCGUUGAGCUCCAUGGCAACAGAAAACUACCGGAGCCUCAAAGAAUCAAAGCUGUGAUUGUUAUGAAAACAGGUGUUGUUUUCACAGAGACUGUUGAAGUAGUAAGUGUUUAAAGCAAUGUAUUUUUAAUACGUAUUUCUACACAAUAUCAACAGCAUUUUGCACAGCUAAUCAAUUUAUGUAUGAAUAUAUUGUAGAUGGUUAUAUUGAGGAAAUGUUAAUGCUUGUUUGGAUUAGAAUUGGAUUAGAAUCUGUUUAACAAUCAAAUAAAAUAGAAUUAUAUUUUUUCUUUUACAUAAUAUUAAAGUAAUGUAACAUUUAGAGGGAACAUCCAUCAUAGACAUAAAAUAAACAUGUGGC
ensembl:lncRNA